rnacentral:ncRNA from 1 species
GAUAGUUGAUUAUUUCAGGGUCUCUUAAAGGGUAAUCUUUAAGCACACAUUGGGUGAAUUGCUGGAACUUCCUUAAGCUGUUUCUCUACAACGAAGUUCGAAAGGACAGGCGUGAAGGAUUAAAAAGCAAACAGAUUGGAUAAUCAGCAGCCAAGCUCCUGUACCGAAAGGUUGGAGAAGGUUCAACGACUAAGACGAACGGGUUAAACAGUUAAGAGUUAAAAAUGAAGAGUGAAAGGUGAAUGAAGAAAUUCAAUGAAUUGAAUUCUAACAAUAAAUAUUAACUCUUAAUUCAUAACUUUUAAUUGCAAGUCUAUGAGGUCUGUAGGGAUGAGGUUUCCCGAAGUGCCCAACCCCGAAACAGAGAACAAAGUAUAAAUAAUAAAGUACAAAUAUCUCUGUUGGGUGAAGAUAUAGUCUGGCGAUGAUUGAAAAAUCACU